rnacentral:rRNA from 1 species
ACACAUGCAAGUCGAGCGAUGAAACUUCCUUCGGGAAGUGGAUUAGCGGCGGACGGGUGAGUAACACGUGGGUAACCUGCCUCAAAGUGGGGGAUAGCCUUCCGAAAGGAAGAUUAAUACCGCAUAACAUAAGAGAAUCGCAUGAUUUUUUUAUCAAAGAUUUAUUGCUUUGAGAUGGACCCGCGGCGCAUUAGCUAGUUGGUAAGGUAACGGCUUACCAAGGCAACGAUGCGUAGCCGACCUGAGAGGGUGAUC